AGUGAGGAAUAUUGGGCAAUGGAGGCAACUCUGACCCAGCCAUCUCGCGUGCAGGAAGACUGCCCUAUGGGUUGUAAACUGCUUUUAUACGAGAAUAAUUGCCCUACGAGUAGGGAGUUGCAUGUAUCGUAUGAAUAAGGACCGGCUAACUCCGUGCCAGCAGCCGCGGUAAUACGGAGGGUCCAAGCGUUAUCCGGAUUCAUUGGGUUUAAAGGGUGCGUAGGUGGGAUUAUAAGUCAGUGGUGAAAUUUUGCGGCUCAACCGUAAAACUGCCAUUGAAACUGUAGUUCUUGAGAGAGUUCGAGGUAGGCGGAAUGAGUAAUGUAGCGGUGAAAUGCAUAGAUAUUACUCAGAACACCGAUUGCGUAGGCAGCUUACCAGACCUUAUCUGACACUGAUGCACGAAAGCGUGGGUAGCGAA
rnacentral:rRNA from 1 species